UAAAGGGGGUAGAGCACUGAAUGGGCUAGGGCAUACACCAAUGUACCAAACCCUAUCAAACUCCGAAUACCUUUAGUGUAAUCACAGCAGUCAGGCGGCGAGUGAUAAAAUCCGUCGUCAAGAGGGAAACAACCCAGACUAACAGCUAAGGUCCCCAAAUCUUACUUAAGUGGAAAACGAUGUGAAGUUACUUAAACAACCAGGAGGUUGGCUUAGAAGCAGCCAUCCUUUAAAGAAAGCGUAAUAGCUCACUGGUCUAGUGAUUUUGCGCGGAAAAUAUAACGGGGCUAAAGUAAGUACCGAAGCUUUAGGCUUGAUUUAUCAAGCGGUAGGAGAGCGUUCUAUUUGCGUCGAAGGUAUACCGACAAGGAGUGCUGGAGCGAAUAGAAGUGAGCAUGCAGGCAUGAGUAGCGAUAAUUAAUGUGAGAAUCAUUAACGCCGUAAACCCAAGGUUUCCUACGCGAUGCUCGUCAUCGUAGGGUUAGUCGGGUCCUAAGCUGAGUCCGAAAGGGGUAAGCGAUGGCAAAUAGGUUAAUAUUCCUAUACCAACAUUAGUGUGCGAUGGAAGGACGCUUAGGGCUAAGGGGGCUAGCGGAUGGAAGUGCUAGUCUAAGGUCGUAGGAGGUUAUACAGGCAAAUCCGUAUAACAAUACUCCGAGAACUGAAAGGCUUUUUGAAGUCUUCGGAUGGAAAGAAGAACCCCUGAUGCCGUCGAGCCAAGAAAAGUUUCUAAGUUUAGCUAAUGUUGCCCGUACCGUAAACCGACACAGGUGGGUGGGAUGAGUAUUCUAAGGCGCGUGGAAGAACUCUCUUUAAGGAACUCUGCAAAAUAGCACCGUAUCUUCGGUAUAAGGUGUGCCUCCCUUUGUAUUAGAAUUCACUUCGAAAGCAAAGAAGGUUACAACAAAGAGUCCCUCCCGACUGUUUACCAAAAACACAGCACUCUGCUAACUCGUAAGAGGAUGUAUAGGGUGUGACGCCUGCCCGGUGCUCGAAGGUUAAUUGAUGGGGUUAGCAUUAGCGAAGCUCUUGAUCGAAGCCCGAGUAAACGGCGGCCGUAACUAUAACGGUCCUAAGGUAGCGAAAUUCCUUGUCGGUUAAAUACCGACCUGCAUGAAUGGCGUAACGAGAUGGGAGCUGUCUCAAAGAGGGAUCCAGUGAAAUUGUAGUGGAGGUGAAAAUUCCUCCUACCCGCGGCAAGACGGAAAGACCCCGUGGACCUUUACUACAGCUUGACACUGCUAUUUGGAUAAGAAUGUGCAGGAUAGGUGGGAGGCUUUGAGUAUAUGACGCCAGUUGUAUAUGAGCCAUUGUUGAGAUACCACUCUUUCUUAUUUGGGUAGCUAACCAGCUUGAGUUAUCCUCAAGUGGGACAAUGUCUGGUGGGUAGUUUGACUGGGGCGGUCGCCUCCCAAAUAAUAACGGAGGCUUACAAAGGUUGGCUCAUAGCGGUUGGAAAUCGCUAGUAGAGUAUAAAGGUAUAAGCCAGCUUAACUGCAAGACAUACAAGUCAAGCAGAGACGAAAGUCGGUCUUAGUGAUCCGGUGGUUCUGUGUGGAAGGGCCAUCGCUCAAAGGAUAAAAGGUACCCCGGGGAUAACAGGCUGAUCUCCCCCAAGAGCUCACAUCGACGGGGAGGUUUGGCACCUCGAUGUCGGCUCAUCGCAUCCUGGGGCUGGAGCAGGUCCCAAGGGUAUGGCUGUUCGCCAUUUAAAGCGGUACGCGAGCUGGGUUCAGAACGUCGUGAGACAGUUCGGUCCCUAUCUGCCGUGGGCGUAAGAAGAUUGAAGAGAUUUGACCCUAGUACGAGAGGACCGGGUUGAACAAACCACUGGUGUAGCUGUUGUUCUGCCAAGAGCAUCGCAGCGUAGCUAAGUUUGGAAAGGAUAAACGCUGAAAGCAUCUAAGCGUGAAGCCAACUCUAAGAUGAAUCUUCUCUAAGCUCUCUAGAAGACUACUAGUUUGAUAGGCUGGGUGUGUAAUGGAUGAAAGUCCUUUAGCUGACCAGUACUAAUAGAGCGUUUGGCUUAUCUUA
rnacentral:rRNA from 1 species